ACUCCUACGGGAGGCAGCAGUAGGGAAUCUUCCACAAUGGGCGCAAGCCUGAUGGAGCAACACCGCGUGAGUGAAGAAGGGUUUCGGCUCGUAAAGCUCUGUUGUUAAAGAAGAACACGUAUGAGAGUAACUGUUCAUACGUUGACGGUAUUUAACCAGAAAGUCACGGCUAACUACGUGCCAGCAGCCGCGGUAAUACGUAGGUGGCAAGCGUUAUCCGGAUUUAUUGGGCGUAAAGAGAGUGCAGGCGGUUUUCUAAGUCCGAUGUGAAAGCCUUCGGCUUAACCGGAGAAGUGCAUCGGAAACUGGAUAACUUGAGUGCAGAAGAGGGUAGUGGAACUCCAUGUGUAGCGGUGGAAUGCGUAGAUAUAUGGAAGAACACCAGUGGCGAAGGCGGCUACCUGGUCUGCAACUGACGCUGAGACUCGAAAGCAUGGGUAGCGAACAGGAUUAGAUACCCUGGUAGGAUAGCG
rnacentral:rRNA from 1 species